CCUCGCCUACCCCGUAGGGCCGGGCCUGCCACUCAUUCAAAAUAAAUAAAAUACAGGUCCGACUCUAGGGGUAGGCCGAGAG
rnacentral:pre_miRNA from 11 species